rnacentral:tRNA from 1 species
AGCUCUGAAGUGAUUCACGUCAAAAUGCAAGUUUGAAAAAGAGCCCUAAUUGGGCUCCGGGGCU